rnacentral:sRNA from 1 species
UGGAUUUCUUUUAAAUUCUCUGCUAUAGACCAAGAUAUGUUAUGAUUACAUUGAUUGACAGUUGUUGGAAUGGAUUUUUUAAAUUCUCUGCCAUAGACCCAGAUGUGUAGACAUUUGGGCAUGUUCUGUCCAACCCUACUUUCUGUAACCUCUCUUCGUUCCGUUGCCUGGAGAUGUGGAAUAGAGUAGAAUGGACUGUGUGUUUCUGAUCCACUGGGAAGAAAUCAGUUGUCCUUUUCUUGCACUGGUGGAAAGGCUUUGGGAGGCGGGAGCAGUUUGCAGAGGAGAGAGCUCACUGUGACUUCUGCCGUGUUCACCGUGGGAGACAACGUGGUUUCAGGCAGCGAUGACCGCACGGUGAAAGUCUGGGACUUGAAAAAUAUGAGAUCCCCCAUUGCAACUAUUCGCACGGACUCUGCCAUUAACAGGAUCAAUGUAUGUGUCGGCCAAAAAAUCAUAGCCCUCCCCCAUGACAACCGACAAGUGAGACUGUUUGAUAUGUCAGGAGUGCGCCUGGCGCGGCUUCCCCGGAGCAGCCGACAGGGCCACAGGAGAAUGGUGUGCUGCUCGGCAUGGAGUGAAG